rnacentral:rRNA from 1 species
UACGUAGGGUGCGAGCGUUGUCCGGAAUUACUGGGCGUAAAGAGCUCGUAGGUGGUUUGUCGCGUUGUCCGUGAAAACUCACAACUCAAUUGUGGGCGUGCGGGCGAUACGGGCAGACUGGAGUACUGCAGGGGAGACUGGAAUUCCUGGUGUAGCGGUGGAAUGCGCAGAUAUCAGGAGGAACACCGGUGGCGAAGGCGGGUCUCUGGGCCGAUACUGACGCUGAUGCGCGAAAGCCAGGGGAGCGAACGGG